GCUAGUGUGCGAUAAAGAGAGGAUUUAUCGUAUAGUUUUUAAACUUGUUCGUGAUCAAAUGAUACAUCAUUACAGGAUGAUGACGUUUAUUGAGUGGAUAUCAUUGUGUGCCAUAUGGGUUGGUUGUCCUCUUAACCAAGGAGUGUGGUGACACUGGUAUAGUAUAUAAGUGAGAUAUAGGGGUACAUCAUCACUGAACAAGUGACUCACUUGCUGAGAUUCUGCUGUCAAGAGCUGCUCA
rnacentral:lncRNA from 1 species